GACGAACGCUGGCGGCGUGCUUAACACAUGCAAGUCGAACGGAAAGGCCCUGCUUUUGUGGGGUGCUCGAGUGGCGAACGGGUGAGUAACACGUGAGUAACCUGCCCUUGACUUUGGGAUAACUUCAGGAAACUGGGGCUAAUACCGGAUAGGAGCUCCUGCUGCAUGGUGGGGGUUGGAAAGUUUCGGCGGUUGGGGCUGGACUCGCGGCUUAUCCGCUUGUUGGUGGGGUAGUGGCUUACCAAGGGUUUGACGGGUAGCCGGCCUGAGAGGGGGACCGGCCACAUGGGGACUGAGAUACGGCCCAGACUCCUACGGGAGGCAGCAGUGGGGAAUAUUGCACAAUGGGCGGAAGCCUGAUGCAGCAACGCCGCGUGCGGGAUGACGGCCUUCGGGUUGUAAACCGCUUUCGCCUGUGACGAAGCGUGAGUGACGGUAAUGGGUAAAGAAGCACCGGCUAACUACGUG
rnacentral:rRNA from 1 species